rnacentral:rRNA from 1 species
GGCUAACGCUGGCGGCGUGUCUUAGCCAUGCAAGUCGAGCGGACUUAUGGGGUAACUUAUAAGUCAGCGGCGGACGGCGGAGUAACACGUAGCUAACCUACCCUCUGGACGGGGAUAACCUACCGAAAGGUGGGCUAAUACCCGAUGUAGUCAUCCUGUAUAGGGGUGAUGAAAGGUGGGCUUCUGUUUACAAGCUCAUGCUGGAGGAGGGGGCUGCGGCCUAUCAGGUAGUUGGUAGGGUAAUAGCCUACCAAGCCGAUGACGGGUAGCCGGCCUGAGAGGGUGACCGGCCCGAGGGGCACUGAGAUACGGGUCCCACUCCUACGGGAGGCAGCAGGCUAGAAAUUUGGGCAAUGGGGGAAACCCUGGACCCAGUGACGCCGCGUGCAGGAAGGAGCCCUUCGGGGUGUAAACUGCUGUCGUGUAGGGAGAAGGGUACUAAGGUGAACAAUCUUAGUACUUGACGGUACUACAGGAGGAAGCCCAGGCUAACCUCGUGCCAGCAGCCGCGGUAAAUGCGUACU